GCGUGCCUAAUACAUGCAAGUCGAUGCGAGCGUGAACCAACGGAUUCAAUUCGGUGAUGACGUUAAAGGGAACGCGUAGCGGCGGGAUGUCAGGUCAGCAGUUAACAUCGUGGGGCUCAACCUGCCCCAUAGUCUGGGAUACCACUUGGAAACUGGUGUUCUAAUGACCGGAUAAGAAAAAUGCAGAAUCGGCAUGAUCAGCUUAUAAAAGGCGGCGUUAAGCUGUCGCUAUGGGAUGGCCCCCGCGGUGCAUUAGCUAGUUGGUAGGGUAACGGCCUACCAAGGCAAUGAUGCAUAGCCGAGUUGAGAGACUGAUCGGCCACAUUGGGACUGAGACACGGCCCAAACUCCUACGGGAGGCAGCAGUAGGGAAUCUUCCACAAUGGAUGAAAGUCUGAUGGAGCAACGCCGCGUGAGUGAAGAAGGUUUUCGGAUCGUAAAGCUCUGUUGUUGGUGAAGAAGGAUAGAGGUAGUAACUGGCCUUUAUUUGACGGUAAUCAACCAGAAAGUCACGGCUAACUACGUGCCAGCAGCCGCGGUAAUACGUAGGUGGCAAGCGUUGUCCGGAUUUAUUGGGCGUAAAGCGAGCGCAGGCGGAAGAAUAAGUCUGAUGUGAAAGCCCUCGGCUUAACCGAGGAACUGCAUCGGAAACUGUUUUUCUUGAGUGCAGAAGAGGAGAGUGGAACUCCAUGUGUAGCGGUGGAAUGCGUAGAUAUAUGGAAGAACACCAGUGGCGAAGGCGGCUCUCUGGUCUGCAACUGACGCUGAGGCUCGAAAGCAUGGGUAGCGAACAGGAUUAGAUACCCUGGUAGUCCAUGCCGUAAACGAUGAGUGCUAAGUGUUGGGAGGUUUCCGCCUCUCAGUGCUGCAGCUAACGCAUUAAGCACUCCGCCUGGGGAGUACGACCGCAAGGUUGAAACUCAAAGGAAUUGACGGGGGCCCGCACAAGCGGUGGAGCAUGUGGUUUAAUUCGAAGCAACGCGAAGAACCUUACCAGGUCUUGACAUCUAGUGCAAUCCGUAGAGAUACGGAGUUCC
rnacentral:rRNA from 1 species